CGCGUAUGCAACCUGCCCCCACUCAGGGGAAGUAGCCCGCCGAAACGGCGGAUUAAUGCCCCACUAGGCCCAGGGCGCCGCAUGGCGCUAUGGGUAAAGCUCCGGCGGAUGGGGAUGGGCAUGCGUGCCAUUAGCUAGUUGGGGCGGUAACGGCGCACCAAGGCGACGAUGGCUAGGGGUCUGAGAGGAUGGUCCCCACACUGGUACUGAGACACGGACCAGACUCCUACGGGAGGCAGCAGUGAGGAAUAUUGGUCAAUGGGCGGAAGCCUGAACCAGCCAUGCCGCGUGCAGGAUGACGGCCCUACGGGUUGUAAACUGCUUUUCCCCGGGAAGAAUAAGCCCCUCGUGAGGGGUGAUGCCGGUACCGGGGGAAUAAGGAUCGGCUAACUCCGUGCCAGCAGCGGC
rnacentral:rRNA from 1 species